UAGAAUCAUGCCCGCACUGAUUAGCGCUAAUGCACUGCAGGUGCGAGAGAGAGAGAAGCGGCGCUCACACAGGUUUCCUGUUUGACGAGUCAAGAUAAAAGAAGGAAGCAGGCAGAAGGGAAAGAGAAGACACAGACGGGGAAGGAACAGGGGAAAGGGAGAGAUGCCCGGUGAAGAGCAAGGGGGGCGCUCGGCGCAUGCUGGACGGCGCGUGUGGGGAAAGGGGAGUUUUGAAGUGCUCGUGCAGGAUACAAGCUUUCUCGGGAAGAUCGUUGGGGCAGGGAGACCGCCCAUUUAAGCUGCUGGAUCAGAGUAAUCGUCUGUGGGAAGACUGCUGGACUGAGCUAUCGACUGGAUCUGUGCUGUGGAAGGAGAGAGAAAAGAUAAGUGCACUGAUUUCAUCUUAUGAACAUUUAAACCGCUUGAAGAGUAUAUGCAGUACCUGUGGAUCUGACUGUUGGAGGAACUAUGUGUUUCAGAGUGUGUUGAGGAGGAAUUGAAAGUGAACCCCGGAGACAAACGGAGUUUGUUGAUCAGACUCCGGGGCCUCUGAUCAGCCCUAUCGUGUGAGUGAAUUGCAGUGCUUUUGCCUUAUUGAUACACAUUGAUUUAUGGCUGUGGAAUUGAAUUGAACACAAGUGUGAUGUGUCUUUGCUGAGAAGUGGCCCCAACCCAUGCUUACACGUUUGUGGAAAGUUAUUAAAUCUGCUCUCUAUCCGAAGCCUAGAGUGAUACAGCUGAACUGAAGAGAGUACUGUGUACUUUGAGAGGAUCCUUACCUGUUCUAUUUACUGUUCGAGUCCUGAACCAUGCAGCACCGCUGAGCGUACUUUGUACUGUGGAGAAGAAGCAGGCAGCAUUCCUGGUGAAGUAGUCUUUUAACCCAUCGUCGUCCUGCUGUGAACCGAAGAGAGUACUGUGUACAGUGAGGGUUCCCACUUGCUAUACUUACUGCUCGAGUUCUGGAAGUCUGAAACGGUUAAACUACUGUUCCAUUUCUGGCACCGACGAGAGUACUUGGUACUGUGGAGAAGAAGUAAGCAGCAUCUCCGGUGAAGUAACCUUUUAACCCAUUGUCUUCCUGCUGUGAACUGAAGAGAGUACUGUGUACGGUGAGGGUUCCCACUUGUUACACUUACUACUCAAGUUCUGGAAGUCUGCAGCAUUGCUGGGGGAAAUUGCAGCGCUGCUGGUGAACGGAGCCCUGAAGCCGCCGUCUGAGAGGCACGGUGAUGGCCGAUCCGUGUUCGACCGUAGUCGAAGGAUACCUGGAGGACAGUGAAGCCUAUACAAUUGGCGCUCCUCGCUACGUUGUUCAAUA